rnacentral:rRNA from 1 species
GCGUGAGGCUGCUUACCUGCAAGUCGAGCGGGCGUACAAUACGUCAGCGGCAGACGGGUGAGUAACGCGUGGGAACGUACCUUUUGGUUCGGAACAACACAGGGAAACUUGUGCUAAUACCGGAUAAGCCCUUACGGAGAAAGAUUUAUCGCCGAAAGAUCGGCCCGCGUCUGAUUAGCUAGUUGGUGAGGUAAUGGCUCACCAAGGCGACGAUCAGUAGCUGGUCUGAGAGGAUGAUCAGCCACAUUGGGACUGAGACACGGCCCAAACUCCUACGGGAGGCAGCAGUGGGGAAUAUUGGACAAUGGGGGCAACCCUGAUCCAGCCAUGCCGCGUGAGUGAUGAAGGCCCUAGGGUUGUAAAGCUCUUUUGUGCGGGAAGAUAAUGACGGUACCGCAAGAAUAAGCCCCGGCUAACUUCGUGCCAGCAGCCGCGGUAAUACGAAGGGGGCUAGCGUUGCUCGGAAUCACUGGGCGUAAAGGGUGCGUAGGCGGGUCUUUAAGUCAGGGGUGAAAUCCUGGAGCUCAACUCCAGAACUGCCUUUGAUACUGAAGAUCUUGAGUCCGGGAGAGGUGAGUGGAACUGCGAGUGUAGAGGUGAAAUUCGUAGAUAUUCGCAAGAACACCAGUGGCGAAGGCGGCUCACUGGCCCGGUACUGACGCUGAGGCACGAAAGCGUGGGGAGCAAACAGGAUUAGAUACCCUGGUAGUCCACGCCGUAAACGAUGAAUGCCAGCCGUUAGUGGGUUUACUCACUAGUGGCGCAGCUAACGCUUUAAGCAUUCCGCCCUGGGGAGUACGGUCGCAAGAUUAAAACUCAAAGGAAUUUGACGGGGGCCCGCACAGCGGUGGAGCAUGUGGAUUUAAUUCGACGCAACGCGCAGAACCUUACCAGCCCUUGACAUGUCAAGGACUGAUCGCAGAGAUGUGACCCUCUCUUCGAGCUGGAGCACAGUGCUGCAUGCUGUCGUCAGCUCGUGUCCUGAAUGUUAGGGUUAGUCCGCACGAGCGCACCCCGUCUUAAGUGCUACAUUAGGUGACACUAGGACUGCAGCUAGCUCAGAAGUGGAUUACCCUCUCA